AGUGAACGCUGGCGGUAGGCCUAACACAUGCAAGUCGAACGGCAGCACAGUAAGAGCUUGCUCUUACGGGUGGCGAGUGGCGGACGGGUGAGGAAUACAUCGGAAUCUACUUUUUCGUGGGGAUAACGUAGGGAAACUUACGCUAAUACCGCAUACGACCUACGGGUGAAAGCAGGGGAUCUUCGGACCUUGCGCGAUUGAAUGAGCCGAUGUCGGAUUAGCUAGUUGGCGGGGUAAAGGCCCACCAAGGCGACGAUCCGUA
rnacentral:rRNA from 1 species